rnacentral:lncRNA from 1 species
UCUCUCCCCUGCCUAUUGAUUUCCCCCAGCCACCAUUUUUCAUCGUGUUUUAUUGGAAACAGUGCUAUUUCUGGGUGGGUAGCACCAAGCUGAAUACUUUGUGGAGCAAACAACUGUACAAUAAAGAUUUUGAACCAAAUUUAUAUUCUCUUCCAGGAGUGAAAUCAGAUUUGCUAUCUGACAGACUUCUUGCUGGUGGUGGUUGGAAGGACUUUGCAAGUCUCAUUUGCAGUUUUCCCACUGUUUCCCUGAACAUCUGCAAGACAGCCCAUCUGGGUUGACACAGUGUGAGAUGAGGCAGACAGGCAUUGCCAACAAAGGGCUCCUACUGC